rnacentral:rRNA from 1 species
UUAGGGGGCUCAGCGUUGUUCGGAAUUACUGGGCGUAAAGGGUGCGUAGGCGGUUCUUUAAGUCUGGUGUGAAAUCUCCCGGCUCAACUCGGAAGGUGCCCUUGAGACUGUAGGGCUUGAGUGUGGGAGAGGUGAGUGGAAUUCCCGGUGUAGCGGUGAAAUGCGUAUAUAUCCGGAGGAACACCUGUGGCGAAAGCGGCUCACUGGACCAUUACUGACGCUGAGGCACGAAAGCGUGGGGAGCAAACAGGAUUAGAUACCCUGGUAGUCCACGCCCUAAACGAUGAAUGCUUGGUGU